GGAGGUAAACGCUGUGAACUGAAACAUCUCAUUAGCAGCAGGAAUAUAAAGAAAUUUCGAUUCCCUAAGUAGCGGCGAGCGAACGGGGAACAGCCCAAACCAAAGUGCUUGCACUUUGGGGUUGUAGGACUGAACAUUUGAGUUACCAAAGAACUUGAUAGUCGAAGGAUUUGGGAAAAUCCGCCAUAGAUGGUGAUAGCCCAGUAGAUUAAAUCAAAUUCUCUCAGUUCAGGAUCCUGAGUACGGCGGAACACGUGAAAUUCCGUCGGAAUCCGGGAGGACCAUCUCCCAAGGCUAAAUACUACCUAGUGACCGAUAGUGAACCAGUACCGUGAGGGAAAGGUGAAAAGCACCCCGGGAGGGGAGUGAAAUAGUUCCUGAAACCAUGUGCCUACAAUAAGUCAGAGCGCGUUAAUGCGUGAUGGCGUGCCUUUUGUAGAAUGAACCGGCGAGUUAUGAUCCCGUGCAAGGUUAAGACUAAAAAGUCGGAGCCGUAGCGAAAGCGAGUCUGAAAUGGGCGUUUUGAGUACGAGGUUAUAGACCCGAAACCAGGUGACCUAUCCAUGUCCAGGUUGAAGGUGCGGUAAAACGCACUGGAGGACCGAACCCGUGUAAGUUGAAAAUUGCUGGGAUGAGGUGUGGAUAGCGGUGAAAUUCCAAACGAACUUGGAGAUAGCUGGUUCUCUCCGAAAUAGCUUUAGGGCUAGCCUCGGAAUUAGGAUCAUGGAGGUAGAGCACUAUUUGGACUAGGGGCCCGUCUUGGGUUACUGAAUUCAGAUAAACUCCGAAUGCCAUUGAUUCAUAUCCGGGAGUCAGACGAUGAGUGAUAAGAUCCACCGUCGAAAGGGGAACAGCCCAGACCAUCAGUUAAGGUCCCUAAAUGUAUGCUAAGUGGAAAAGGAUGUGGAGUUGCAUAGACAACUAGGAUGUUGGCUCAGAAGCAGCCACCAUUUAAAGAGUGCGUAAUAGCUCACUAGUCGAGUGAUCCUGCGCCGAAAAUGUACCGGGGCUAAGCAUACUACCGAAACCAUGGAUGCGACCAUUAGGUCGCGUGAUAGGAGAGCGUUCUAAGGGCGGUGAAGCAAGAUCGUGAGGACUUGUGGAGCGCUUAGAAGUGAGAAUGCCGGUAUGAGUAGCGAAAGAUAGGUGAGAAUCCUAUCCACCGAAUGACUAAGGUUUCCUGGGGAAGGCUCGUCCUCCCAGGGUUAGUCGGGACCUAAGUCGAGGCCGAGAGGCGUAGACGAUGGAUAACAGGUUGAGAUUCCUGUACUAGUUAAGUGCGUUUGAGCAAUGGAGGGACGCAGGAGGCUAAGAUGUGCAUUCUGUUGGAUUAGAAUGUCCAAGCAGUAAGUCUUGUGAAGAGUCAAAUGCUUUUCACUUUAAGGACAAGCUGUGAUGGGGAGCGAAAUUUAGUAGCGAAGCGUCUGAUGUCACACUGCCGAGAAAAGCUUCUAGUGAGUACUUAACUACCCGUACCGCAAACCGACACAGGUAGUCGAGGAGAGAAUCCUAAGGUGAGCGAGUGAACUCUCGUUAAGGAACUCGGCAAAAUGACCCCGUAACUUCGGGAGAAGGGGUGCUGAUCGCAAGAUCAGCCGCAGUGAAUAGGCCCAGGCGACUGUUUAUCAAAAACACAGGUCUCUGCAAAAUCGUAAGAUGACGUAUAGGGGCUGACGCCUGCCCGGUGCUGGAAGGUUAAAAGGAUGGGUUAGCUUCGGCGAAGCUCAGAAUUGAAGCCCCAGUAAACGGCGGCCGUAACUAUAACGGUCCUAAGGUAGCGAAAUUCCUUGUCGGGUAAGUUCCGACCCGCACGAAAGGCGUAACGAUCUGGGCACUGUCUCAACGAGAGACUCGGUGAAAUUAUAUUGUCCGUGAAGAUGCGGACUACCCGCGACAGGACGGAAAGACCCCAUGGAGCUUUACUGUAGCUUGAUAUUGAGUGUUUGUACAGCUUGUACAGGAUAGGUAGGAGCCAUAGAAACCGGAACGCUAGUUUCGGUGGAGGCGUUGGUGGGAUACUACCCUCGCUGUAUGACCACUCUAACCCGCACCACUAAUCGUGGUGGGAGACAGUGUCAGGUGGGCAGUUUGACUGGGGCGGUCGCCUCCUAAAAAGUAACGGAGGCGCCCAAAGGUUCCCUCAGAAUGGUUGGAAAUCAUUCGCAGAGUGUAAAGGCACAAGGGAGCUUGACUGCGAGACAGACAGGUCGAGCAGGGACGAAAGUCGGGCUUAGUGAUCCGGUGGUACCGUAUGGAAGGGCCAUCGCUCAACGGAUAAAAGCUACCCUGGGGAUAACAGGCUUAUCUCCCCCAAGAGUCCACAUCGACGGGGAGGUUUGGCACCUCGAUGUCGGCUCAUCGCAUCCUGGGGCUGUAGUCGGUCCCAAGGGUUGGGCUGUUCGCCCAUUAAAGCGGUACGCGAGCUGGGUUCAGAACGUCGUGAGACAGUUCGGUCCCUAUCCGUCGCGGGCGUAGGAAAUUUGAGAGGACCUGUCCUUAGUACGAGAGGACCGGGAUGGACAUACCUCUGGUGUACCAGUUGUGCCGCCAGGCGCAUCGCUGGGUAGCUACGUAUGGAUGUGAUAAACGCUGAAAGCAUCUAAGUGUGAAACACACCUCGAGAUGAGAUUUCCCAUUCCUUUAUGGAAGUAAGACCCCUGAAAGAUGAUCAGGUAGAUAGGUUAGAAGUGGCAGUGCGGUGACGCAUGAAGCGGACUAAUACUAAUCGGUCGAGGACUUAACC
rnacentral:rRNA from 1 species